GCUGUUUUGGCAGAUAAUAUGCGCUAGAUUUAGGCUUUAGUUAAAUAGAAUUAAUCUAUAAAUAGUA
rnacentral:tRNA from 1 species